rnacentral:rRNA from 1 species
UACGGGGGGGGCAAGCGUUGUUCGGAAUUACUGGGCGUAAAGGGCGCGUAGGCGGCCUUCUAAGUCGGACGUGAAAUCCCUCGGCUCAACCGAGGAACUGCGUCCGAUACUGAAAGGCUUGAAUCCGGGAGAGGGAUGUGGAAUUCCAGGUGUAGCGGUGAAAUGCGUAGAUAUCGGAAGGAACAUCAGUGGCGAAAGCGACUUCCUGGACCAAUACUGACGCUCAUGUGCGAAAGCGUGGGGAGCAAACAGG